rnacentral:misc_RNA from 1 species
GAACUCAGGUCAGAAAGCAGGA